UACGUAGGGCGCAAGCGUUAUCCGGAAUUAUUGGGCGUAAAGAGCUCGUAGGCGGUUUGUCGCGUCUGCCGUGAAAGUCCGGGGCUCAAUUCCGGAUCUGCGGUGGGUACGGGCAGACUAGAGUGAUGUAGGGGAGACUGGAAUUCCUGGUGUAGCGGUGAAAUGCGCAGAUAUCAGGAGGAACACCGAUGGCGAAGGCAGGUCUCUGGGCAUUAACUGACGCUGAGGAGCGAAAGCAUGGGGAGCGAGCAGG
rnacentral:rRNA from 1 species